UAAUAAAUAAAUCUUCGAUCCCGACGUAUCCCGAUGUUACAUCGGGAUAGUCGGGACGGCGAUCUCCCGAAUAUUGGCAGAGGAGAUCCGAGGGUUUGGAAGGUAACUUCCGGGCCUCCCAUUUAGGAAAGGAGAGAAUAUGAAAAGGUU
rnacentral:ncRNA from 2 species